UCAGGCCUAACACAUGCAAGUCGAGCGAUGAAGCACCUUCGGGUGUGAAUUAGCGGCGAACGGGUGAGGAACACGUGAGAAAUCUGCCUUCAACUCUGGGAUAACUCCGGGAAACCGGGGCUAAUACCGGAUAUGAGCCUUGAUCGCAUGAUCAGGGCUGGAAAGUUUUUCGGUUGAAGAUGAUCUCGCGGCCUAUCAGCUUGUUGGUGAGGUAAUGGCUCACCAAGGCGACGACGGGUAGCCGGCCUGAGAGGGCGACCGGCCACACUGGGACUGAGACACGGCCCAGACUCCUACGGGAGGCAGCAGUGGGGAAUAUUGGGCAAAAGAGGAAACUCUGACCCAGCGA
rnacentral:rRNA from 1 species